AUUGAACGCUGGCGGCAGGCCUAACACAUGCAAGUCGAACGAGUGGCGGACGGGUGAGUAAUGUCUGGGAAACUGCCCGAUGGAGGGGGAUAACUACUGGAAACGGUAGCUAAUACCGCAUACCAUCGGAUGUGCCCAGAUGGGCUUAGCUGGUAGGGGGGGUAACGGCUCACCUAGGAGACGAUCCCUAGCUGGUCUGAGAGGAUGACAGGCCACACUGGAAAGGAGGAACGGUCCAGACUCCUACGAGAGGCAGAAGUGGGGAAUAUUGCACAAUGGGCGCAAGCCUGAUGCAGCCAUGCCGCGUGUAUGAAGAAGGCCUUCGGGUUGUAAAGUACUUUCAGCGAGGAGGCGUUACUCGCAGAAGAAGCACCGGCUAACUCCGUGCCAGCAGCCGCGGUAAUAC
rnacentral:rRNA from 1 species